UACGGGGGGAGCAAGCGUUGUUCGGAUUUCCUGGGCGUAAAGGGCGCGUAGGCGGCCCCCGCAAGUCGACUGUGAAAUCUCCGGGCUUAACCCGGAAAGGUCAGCCGAUACUGCGGGGCUAGAGUGCAGAAGGGGCAACUGGAAUUCUCGGUGUAGCGGUGAAAUGCGUAGAUAUCGAGAGGAACACCGGUGGCGAAGGCGGCCUUCUGGACAGUGACUGACGCUGAGACGCGAAAGCGUGGGGAGCAAACAGG
rnacentral:rRNA from 1 species